GGGGAAUCUUGCGCAAUGGGCGAAAGCCUGACGCAGCAACGCCGCGUGAGCGAUGAAGGUCUUUGGAUCGUAAAGCUCUUUCGGCAGGGAAGAAACGCCCGGUGGCCAAUACCCAUCGGGUUUGACGGUACCUGCAGAAGAAGCACCGGCUAACUCUGUGCCAGCAGCCGCGGUAAUACAGAGGGUGCAAGCGUUGUUCGGAAUUAUUGGGCGUAAAGCGAGUGUAGGCGGGACCGUAUGUCGGGUGUGAAAGCCCUCGGCUCAACCGAGGAAGUGCGCCCGAAACUGCGGUUCUUGAGUGUCGGAGAGGGUGGCGGAAUUCCCGGUGUAGAGGUGAAAUUCGUAGAUAUCGGGAGGAACACCAGAGGCGAAGGCGGCCACCUGGACGAACACUGACGCUGAGACUCGAAAGCGUGGGGAGCAAAC
rnacentral:rRNA from 1 species